GGCAUAAUUUGCAGUACACUGCAACUCUUUUUAUUCACAGUGUAUUUGUAGAUGUAUCAAUUCUUUUUGCAGUCAUGGGUAAAAUAUCUGUAAAAGUAGAUAAAAGAUUAAUUAAUUCAAAUUGUGAAGGAUAGCAUAAAAUCUAGCCUAAUAAAAGUUAGUGAGGCGAACAUAGAGUCCAUUUGGGUUAAGUUAGAAUUUGGUAAUCACACAGUAACUCGUGUAGGUAUGAUUUAC